UAGGGAAUCUUCCGCAAUGGGCGAAAGCCUGCCGGAGCAACGCCGCGUGAGUGAUGAAGGUCUUCGGAUCGUAAAACUCUGUUAUUAGGGAAGAACAAAUGUGUAAGUAACUAUGCACGUCUUGACGGUACCUAAUCAGAAAGCCACGGCUAACUACGUGCCAGCAGCCGCGGUAAUACGUAGGUGGCAAGCGUUAUCCGGAAUUAUUGGGCGUAAAGCGCGCGUAGGCGGUUUUUUAAGUCUGAUGUGAAAGCCCACGGCUCAACCGUGGAGGGUCAUUGGAAACUGGAAAACUUGAGUGCAGAAGAGGAAAGUAGAAUUCCAUGUGUAGCGGUGAAAUGCGCAGAGAUAUGGAGGAACACCAGUGGCGAAGGCGACUUUCUGGUCUGUAACUGACGCUGAUGUGCGAAAGCGUGGGGAUCAAACAGG
rnacentral:rRNA from 1 species